GAGAGGCUUAGAGGCUGAAAGUUAGGGUUCUAAGGCUUUGGGUUGUACCCUCUUUUGGUAACCAUGAGGUUCCUAACUCAAUGGAGAUGAUUCUCAUUGAUGAGCAUGUUAGCCCCUAUUAGCUUCUCUUUUAAAUAUGGUGUUACUUGUUUUUUAAAUUUUCAAUUUUAAAUUAUGUGUUUCACUAAUCUGAUUUUGUUCUUUUGUUAGAUUUCUAGUGUGGAAAAAUUCAAGCUACAGUUAAGAAACCACUCCUUAAUAGGUUUAAGGAUCUUAUAGUUGAGGGUCAAGUUUAUAGAAUGGCAUACUUUACUGUUGUGUCAAAUCAUGGUAGUUAUAGAGCAACUUCUCAUGAAUUCAAAUUGGUUUUCCUUCACCGAACCACUGUUGUAGCUGUUGAUGAAGAUGUUAUCCCUAAGACUUGUUUCAACAUGUUUCCUUUUUCUGAGCUGCUGAACAUGACCGAAGAUUAUGAUUUUUUAGUUGGUGUGUCUAUCUUCUUUGUCUGUUGUUAUUUAAGUUUUUUUAACAAAUGCUUUGAAUAUUUAAUAGGUUGUGUUUAUUUGGAAUAUAUGUUAUUGGUCUUUUAACUUCAGUUGGAGAAGAGAAAGAAUAUGCAAAAGAGGGCAAAAUUGUGAAAAUGAUUGUGCUGGAAUUAACUUCAAAAGAUCUUACGUUGCGAUGUGAAUUGUUUGGGGACUAUGUUAAUCAAGUAAAUCAUUUCCUUGCCUCCGGUUAUGUGGGGCAGCCUGUUGUAGUCAUUCAACUUGCAAAAGUCAAGUUCUUUAGGGGUCAAGUAGGCCUUCAAAAUGUGAUGUAUGCCACUCAAAUGUUAUUUAAUCCUGAUCUUCCUGAAGUUGUUGAGUUCAGGCAGAGUAUGAUUGAGCAAGGUGUGAAUGGUACCCAGCCACUGUUUAUUGCAAAUGAGGGUAAAGUUGUGUCCUUGGAAGAUGAUUUCAUGCGUUUAACUAGAAAAUGCACCAUUGAAGAGCUUCAAGAUAACAAUCAGGUUGUCUUCUUUUGAGUUAGUUGUGUUUAUGUUUAUUUUAUGCACAAAUGAACUGAAAAAGAAAAUCAAACAACAAUUUUCAGAUCUGAUUUUUCAUUCAUAUUGUUAACAAAUUCUGAAAUGCCGUUUAGAUAGGAGGGUUCUUUUAUCAUUUUUGGUACAAUCCAAGGUAUUGUUGAGGAUGGAGGCUGGUGGUAUUCUGCUUGUGUGUGUGGAAAGGGUAUCUAUCCUCAGAAUGGUGCAUAUUACUAUGAUUUCUGUUUGAAGCAUAUAACUAAUGUCACUCCAAGAUUUAAAUUUAAAAUAACAGUUGAAGAUCAUAGUGGGGGAGGGUAUUUUCCUUUUCUUUGAUCGUGAGGCAUCUUAUUUGCUUAAGAAAUCAUGUGCUGACUUGUUUACUGAGGUUCAAAGAGA